AUACGGAGGGUGCAAGCGUUAUUCGGAAUCACUGGGCGUAAAGGACGCGUAGGCGGGAAGCCAAGUCUGAUGUGAAAUCCUACAGCUCAACUGUAGAACUGCAUUGGAAACUGGUUACCUAGAGUAUGGGUGGGGGAGAUGGAAUUAGUGGUGUAGGGGUAAAAUCCGUAGAUAUCACUAGGAAUACCGAAAGCGAAGGCGAUCUCCUGGAACAAUACUGACGCUAAGGCGUGAAAGCGUGGGGAGCAAACGGGAUUAGAAACCCCAGUAGUCC
rnacentral:rRNA from 1 species